rnacentral:tRNA from 1 species
GUAUUGGUGGUUCAGUGGCAGAAUUCUCCUCUUUCAUGCAGGAGACCCGGGUUAGAUUCCCUGCCAGUGUA